rnacentral:rRNA from 1 species
AUUGAACGCUGGCGGCAGGCCUAACACAUGCAAGUCGAACGAGUGGCGGACGGGUGAGUAAUGUCUGGGAAACUGCCUGAUGGAAGGGGAUAACUACUGGAAACGGUAGCUAAUACCGCAUACCAUCGAAUGUGCCCAGAUGGGAUUAGCUAGUCGGUGGGGUAAAGGCUCACCUAGGCGAAGAUCCCUAGCUGGUCGGAGAGGAUGACCAGCCACACUGGAACGUAGACACGGUCCAGACUCCUACGGGAGGCAGCAGUGGGGAAUAUUGCACAAUGGGCGCAAGCCUGAUGCAGCCAUGCCGCGUGUAUGAAGAAGGCCUUCGGGUUGUAAAGUACUUUCAGCGGGGAGGCGUUACCCGCAGAAGAAGCACCGGCGAACUCCGUGCCAGCAGCCGCGGUAAUUC